UACGAAGGGGGCUAGCGUUGCUCGGAAUUACUGGGCGUAAAGGGUGCGUGAGGCGGCGGGGCAAGUCUGAUGUGAAAUCCUGGGGCUCAACCCUGGAACUGCAUUGGAUACUGCCUUGCUAGAGUACUGGAGAGGAAACUGGAAUUUACGGUGUAGCAGUGAAAUGCGUAGAGAUCGUAAGGAAGACCAGUGGCGAGGGCGAGUUUCUGGACAGUUACUGACGCUGAGGCACGAAGGCCAGGGGAGCAAACGGG
rnacentral:rRNA from 1 species